rnacentral:rRNA from 1 species
GUGGCGAGUGGCGAACGGGUGAGUAAUACAUCGGAACAUGUCCUGUAGUGGGGGAUAGCCCGGCGAAAGCCGGAUUAAUACCGCAUACGAUCUACGGAUGAAAGCGGGGGACCUUCGGGCCUCGCGCUAUAGGGUUGGCCGAUGGCUGAUUAGCUAGUUGGUGGGGUAAAGGCCUACCAAGGCGACGAUCAGUAGCUGGUCUGAGAGGACGACCAGCCACACUGGGACUGAGACACGGCCCAGACUCCUACGGGAGGCAGCAGUGGGGAAUUUUGGACAAUGGGCGAAAGCCUGAUCCAGCAAUGCCGCGUGUGUGAAGAAGGCCUUCGGGUUGUAAAGCACUUUUGUCCGGAAAGAAAUCCUUGGCUCUAAUACAGUCGGGGGAUGACGGUACCGGAAGAAUAAGCACCGGCUAACUACGUGCCAGCAGCCGCGGUAAUACGUAGGGUGCAAGCGUUAAUCGGAAUUACUGGGCGUAAAGCGUGCGCAGGCGGUUUGCUAAGACCGAUGUGAAAUCCCCGGGCUCAACCUGGGAACUGCAUUGGUGACUGGCAGGCUAGAGUAUGGCAGAGGGGGGUAGAAUUCCACGUGUAGCAGUGAAAUGCGUAGAGAUGUGGAGGAAUACCGAUGGCGAAGGCAGCCCCCUGGGCCAAUACUGACGCUCAUGCACGAAAGCGUGGGGAGCAAACAGGAUUAGAUA